UGGGGAAUAUUGGACAAUGGGGGCAACCCUGAUCCAGCCAUGCCGCGUGAGUGAUGAAGGCCUUCGGGUUGUAAAGCUCUUUUGGCGGGGACGAUGAUGACGGUACCCGCAGAAUAAGCCCCGGCUAACUUCGUGCCAGCAGCCGCGGUAAGACGAAGGGGGCUAGCGUUGUUCGGAAUUACUGGGCGUAAAGCGAGUGUAGGCGGUUGCCGUAGUCAGGUGUGAAAGCCUUGAGCUCAACUCAAGAAAUGCACUUGAUACUGGGUGACUAGAGGACCGGAGAGGAUAGUGGAAUUCCCAGUGUAGUGGUGAAAUACGUAGAGAUUGGGAAGAACACCAGUGGCGAAGGCGGCUAUCUGGACGGUUACUGACGCUAAGACUCGAAAGCGUGGGGAGCAAACAGGAUUAGAUACCCUGGUAGUCCACGCCGUAAACGAUGGGUGCUAGACGUUGGCGAGCUUGCUCGUCAGUGUCGCAGCUAACGCGUUAAGCACCCCGCCUGGGGAGUACGGCCGCAAGGG
rnacentral:rRNA from 1 species